rfam:Salmo salar isolate Sally breed double haploid chromosome ssa13, whole genome shotgun sequence.
UGAAAUCACUACUGUAAGUCGCUCUGGAUAAGAGCGUCUGCUAAAUGACAAAUG